AAAAGGUGGGAUUUAGGGAUAAUGGCCAUGCCCACGACCAUCAGCUGCUUCUGGAGACAGGGAAAAAGGUGGGAUUUAGGGAUAAUGGCCAUGCCCACGACCAUCAGCUGCUUCUGGAGACAGGGAAAAAGGUGGGAUUUAGGGAUAAUGGCCAUGCCCCACAAGCAUCAGCUGCUUCUGGAGACAGGAAAAAAAGGUGGGAUUUAGGGAUAAUGUUCAUGCCCACGACCAUCAGCUGCUUCUGGAGACAGGAAAAAAGGUGGGAUUUAGGGAUAAUGGCCAUGCCCAGGACCAUCAGCUGCUUCUGGAGAGGGGAACAGAGGUGGGAUUUAGGGAUAAUGUUCAUGCCCAGGACCAUCAGCUGCUUCUGGAGAGGGAAGGAGAAGUGGGAUUUAGGGAUAAUGGCCAUGCCCACGACCAUCAGCUGCUUCUGGAGACAGGAAAAGAGAUGGGAUUUAGGGAUAAUGGCCAUGCCCAUGACCAUCAGCUGCUUCUGGAGAGGGGA